rnacentral:rRNA from 1 species
UACGAAGGGAGCUAGCGUUGUUCGGAAUCACUGGGCGUAAAGCGCACGUAGGCGGAUGUGUCACUCAGGGGUGAAAUCCCGGAGCUCAACUUCGGAACUGCCUUUGAUACAGCACAUCUGGAGUCCGGAAGAGGUGGGUGGAAUUCCUAGUGUAGAGGUGAAAUUCGUAGAUAUUAGGAAGAACACCGGUGGCGAAGGCGGCCCACUGGUCCGGUACUGACGCUGAGGUGCGAAAGCGUGGGGAGCAAACAGG